rnacentral:ncRNA from 2 species
AAGAACUGUCCUUGGGUUUAUGCUCUGUUAUUGUCUGGGCAACAUUUCAUGAUGUGCCUAUGUGUGUUUUUAAUUAUUGUUUGCUUAAAAUGUCCCAAGUUGGAGCUGGUUGGAAAGUCAUGAGCUAGUUUGACCCAUGCCUUAUAAGAUUUAAGUAGGCAAAUAGAAAUUUAUUAAUAUCUGAAAUGGUGAAAUAACCUACAACAUCUACUGACUAGAUGUUUUUGUAAUGUAGUCACAUCUUUCUCUUGAUCCCUCCUGUCUUCCAGUUUGUCUUCUUUAUUAGCCACCAAACCCAGUUAUGUUCUUUUAUUCUUUUUUAAGUCUCUUUUCCCCCUUCCCCAUCCUCUUUGUCUCACAGGAACAACUUGAUACAGAGACAAGUACAACUCAAUCAGAAACUAUUCAGACAGCGGCUUCUCUGUUGGCCUCUCAGAAAACAUCCAGUACAGACCUUUCUGAUAUCCCUGCUCUCCCUGCAAAUCCUAUUCCUGUUAUCAAGAAUUCAAUAAAACUGAGAUUGAAUCGGUAAAAACAACCUCAGGGGUCCAUAAACAAUAUCUGCCAACUCAACCUGUUGUCUUCAAA